rnacentral:rRNA from 1 species
AUUGAACGCUGGCGGAAUGCUUUACACAUGCAAGUCGAACGGUAGAGGGGGCAACCCCUUGAGAGUGGCGAACGGGUGAGUAAUAUAUCGGAACGUGCCCAGUCGUGGGGGAUAACGUAGCGAAAGUUACGCUAAUACCGCAUACGAUCUAAGGAUGAAAGCGGGGGAUCGCAAGACCUCGCGCGACUGGAGCGGCCGAUAUCAGAUUAGGUAGUUGGUAGGGUAAAGGCCUACCAAGCCAACGAUCUGUAGCUGGUCUGAGAGGACGACCAGCCACACUGGAACUGAGACACGGUCCAGGCUCCUACGGGAGGCAGCAGUGGGGAAUUUUGGACAAUGGGCGAAAGCCUGAUCCAGCCAUUCCGCGUGCAGGAUGAAGGCCCUCGGGUUGUAAACUGCUUUUGUACAGAACGAAAAGGUUUCUAUUAAUACUAGGAGCUCAUGACGGUACUGUAAGAAUAAGCACCGGCUAACUACGUG